GGGAGGGAGGGAGUUGGGGGUUGCAAAGCACUUCUCAGGUUGAUAGCCUUGGAUGUAUUGAACGGAUUUUUUUCUUUUCUUUUCUUUUUUUCUUUUCUUUUCUUUUUUUUUUUUUUUAACUGCCAAAUCGGAAAGUCUGUUCUUUAAAACUCCAGUUAGCGAGACUAUAGGGUUUUAUUCUGGCUGCAGAAUAACUGGCUGGUGUGGCUUUGCAAGGGGGGGCGGGCAGGCAAAAAGAAAAGACAGAAAAGAAUACGUGAGUCGUCCAGUGCAAUCUCUAUUGUUUGAAAUUUACUUUUUAUCAGAAUUUGAAGAUGAAAACGGUAAGGAAGACUUCACAAUAUUCAAUGAAACC
rnacentral:lncRNA from 1 species